GCGGCAGGCCUAACACAUGCAAGUCGAGGGGCAGCACAAAGAUAGUUUACUAUUUUGGUGGCGACCGGCGCACGGGUGAGUAACGCGUAUGCAACCUACCUUAUACAGGAGUAUAGCCCGAAGAAAUUCGGAUUAAUCCUCCAUAGUAUUUUCUAAUGGCAUCAUUUGGAAAAUUAAAGCUUCGGCGGUAUAAGAUGGGCAUGCGUCCUAUUAGCUAGAUGGUAAGGUAACGGCUUACCAUGGCAACGAUAGGUAGGGGGCCUGAGAGGGUGAUCCCCCACACUGGUACUGAGACACGGACCAGACUCCUACGGGAGGCAGCAGUGAGGAAUAUUGGGCAAUGGAGGCAACUCUGACCCAGCCAUGCCGCGUGCAGGAAGAAUGCCCUAUGGGUUGUAAACUGCUUUUAUUUAGGAAUAAACCCUUCUACGUGUAGAAGGCUGAAUGUACUAAACGAAUAAGCACCG
rnacentral:rRNA from 1 species